UCUCCGUUGGUGAACCAGCGGAGGGAUCAUUACCGAGCUAUCAACUCCCAAACCCCUUUGAACAUACCCAACGUUGCUUCAGCGGGACCGCCCCGGCGCCCUCGGCGCCCCGGAACCGGGCGCCCGCCGGAGGACCCAAACUCUUGUUUAAACCAUAGUGGCAUAUUCUGAGUCUCACAAGAAAAAUGAAUCAAAACUUUCAACAACGGAUCUCUUGGCUCUG
rnacentral:misc_RNA from 1 species